rnacentral:rRNA from 1 species
CAAGAGCGUAUGUAAAAGUUGUUGCAGUUAAAAAGCUCGUAGUUGAACCUUGGGUUUGGUUGGCCGGUCCGCUUUUUUGCGAGUACUGGAUUCAACCGAACCUUUCCUUCUGGCUAACCAGUCGUUUCGGCGGCUGGCGAACCAGGAUUUUUACUUUGAGAAAAUUAGAGUGUUCAAAGCAGGCAUUAGCUUGAAUAUAUUAGCAUGGAAUAAUAGAAUAGGACGUUAUGGUUCUAUUUUGUUGGUUUCUAGGACCAUCGUAAUGAUUAAUAGGGACGGUCGGGGGCAUCAGUAUUCAGUUGUCAGAGGUGAAAUUCUUGGAUUUACUGAAGACUAACUACUGCGAAAGCAUUUGCCAAGGACGUUUUCAUUAA